UUUUUUUUUUUUUUUUAAUAAACUUUUCUUGUAUCUGAGGCUGGAAUCUGCUUCCUCUAACAGAGCCAUGCGGAAUAAAUCUAAUCUCUCUUCCAUGUGAUAUUAUACUUGAAGUAUUUGGAAAUGCCGCCCAGUCCCCUCAGAGGCUUCUCCCAGCUGAAACAUCUCCAGGUCCUUGAACUGUUUCUGCCCCAUGGGUGGGAGUCUCCUGUACCCUCCCAAGUUACCUAGCGAUGCUCUGAUUGGUCUAAGUCCCUUUGAAGCUCAAGAUAGUGCUUCAAUUCAAGCUGAAAUUCUGCUUCUCCAGGAGGCAGCGCUGGAGGAGUAUGGCUUAAAACCAUAAUCAGUCCGACCAGGCCCGAGUUAUUCUGACAAAAAUAAUUUUGGGGUCUCCAUUUUCGUCUUUUUCUCCUCUGUGUCAGUAAUGCCAGACUUAGUUAGGAAGCCCAGGAAAGGAGACGGCCUUCUCGUGUGCUAGCACUGUGCCUUUCACGUUCUUGCACCUUACCCUCACAAAAACUCUCUAAUUACUAUUAUUGUUACUCCUCUUUUACAGAAUCAGGGGUCAAAUAAUCACCCAAGAGCACACAGCUAAUAAGUCGCGGAGAGAGGUCUCUAGCCUGUGACUUGUAUACAAAGCUGCUGCCCCAGAGUCUCGUAGUUAAAACUGAGAUCCUGAAUCUGUUUUUCAGCACACUCUUAUGAUACACAGCUUUAAUUCAAGGCCACUUGGUAUACACCAUGUUUAUGCAGCUACAGAAACUUCUGAAAUACAAGUUAAGAACUUUAGGUGGGAAAAAAGUUCUUUGUGGAAGCAAAUGAAACAGAAAUUCCUAGUUUAAGCCAAAAGUCAUCCCAAACAUGCUUUUAUUCCAAUGGUAUUACUUAGCAGCAAAGUGUUCUAUUCCCCUUGAGUUUCCUGCCUUAGGCUAAGGGUAGGCCAGGCCCCGAAGCUAAAUAAUUGUUUCUUAUAUUUCGGUACUAGCACUACCAAUGCCAUUGCCCCUUACUCACACUUGCUUUCCAGUGUGUAGGUUAGUCAUGAAAGAGGGAAGAAUAGGUUUCCCCUGCACACACUGUAACUUUUUUUCCAGCAUUGCUCAGCCUGCCAGAACAAAAGUAAAACCACAGAGAGAAGAUUUAGAUCAGCCUCUUGAUCACCCUGCUGCUAUUUUAUAGUUUUAGGAGGGGUUGGACAUCAAACACUUGAAACUGUCAUCUGCACAUUCCUUCUCAGAAUAAAGCAGCACUGGCAUGUACCCUCCUGAAUUAUUUUUCUACCCUUCCCCCCAACUUUUGGAAACUCUUUCUCUCCAGGAAAAUAGUCUACAGAAGGCACGCCGAAUUAUGAGUGUUUGUUCUAAGGAAGGCUCUUCCAGCCUACUGUGAACUGUCAUAUGCUGACAUCCGGCCAGGUGGACUCUCAGCUUCAGUGGGGAUGCUGCUCAGACGUUUAGGGUUUUCUAAUUUGUUUCUCAUUGUAGCGUUUGAGACACCUUUUCCUUACUGCCUGAUCUGAAGGAUCCUCCACAAUCACUAUUGCAUUAAUCUAUUAUUUUCUUCAUGGUACUUACGGCAACCCAACGCUUCAUUGCUUGUAUGCUUGCUAACGUUCCACCUUACGUCUCUAGAUCACCACUUGCGCAUAAGUAACUUGGUCUGUCUUGUUCAUUACCUAGCAUGGAGUAGGUCCUCAGAAAUAUUUUUUGGAUGAAUAUAUAUUUUGUGCAAAUAUAUGUAUAUAUGUAUUUGUCGUGUACAAUUCUUUCCUUCAAACAAAUUCUUGGAGUGGUUGAAUUCCUACAGACAGAGGUAGAAUAUGGUUGCCAAGGGCAGGGGUGGAGGAAAUGGGGAAUUAGUGUUUAAUGGAUACAGAGUUUCAAUUUGGGGAAGAUGAAAGAAAUUUUGCAGAUGGAUGGUGGUGCUGGUUGCACAACAAUGUGAAUAUACUUAACGCCACUGACCUGGACACUUAGCAGUGGUUAACAUCAUAAAUUUUAGAGUGCAUAUAUUUUAACGCAAUAAAAAUAAAUUCCUUGAGUUGGAAAUUUGGGGCUAAGAGUUAGUUUAUGUCUUUAAAACUGGGGUAUAUAUUACUAAACUUCUCUCCAGAAGUUAUGCCAAUUUACUUUCCAAAUACCAGUGCCUGAAAAUAGUCAUUGCUCAGCAUAUCACCAACACUGUGUUCUCAGUUUUUUUAUUCUUUAUGUAUGAUGAGUAAACACACACACACACACACACACACUUUAAUUAUUGUUUUACUUGUGUGACUAUACUUAUUAUUAAGGAUUUAGUAUAUUUUCAUGUUUGGUAUUUCUUCUUUUGUGAAAAGCCUAUAUGUAUCCUUUCCCAUUUUUAUGGGGGUGUCUCCUUUGAUUGGUUUAUAGGAGUUCCUGUAUAGUAAAGAUAAUAACUCUUAUAACUGUUAUACAGCUUGCAAUUAAUUUUCCCAAUUUGCUAUUUAUCUUUACAUAUUACUUGCUAUAUGAAAUUUAAAAUUAUAUGCUGAAUCAAUAUGAUCUUGGGGUGAAAAAACCCUUCCCCAUUCCAAAAUUAUAAGAAUAUUCAUCCAUGUUUUUACCCUAUGCAGUUGUGGCUUUGUUCUUUAUACUUAAAUAUUUGAUGCAUCUAAAUGCUUAUGGCAAGAAAUGAGAUAAAGAUCCAACUGGAUUUUUUAAAUUAAUCAGUUAAUCAUCAUUUAUUACAUAAUCCAUGCUUUCAUCAGUAAUUUGAAAUGACUACUUUUGGUUAUAAUAAACAGCCAUUUUCUUAGAUCUGUUUCAUUCUAGCACCUAGACCAUGCUAUUUUAUUUACAGUAAGUUACCAAUAUAUUUAGGUGGUGCCUUUUGCUGUAAAUCCUAGGCUAGUAACUAACCUCUAUGUUUGGGAAUUAAUCCAUUAUUAGAAACAUUUUAAAUUAUGUAUAAUUAUACAUUGGAAAGGUAUAGCCUGUUGGAGACUUUCCUCUGCUGGGAGCCAGCAAGGAAGAGAGAGUAUGCUGUCAACAGACAUUUAAAAGAACCAGUGAUAGGAAGGAGAAGACUUGGCUGGGAUGCUUGGCACAGUGUCAGGCCUGCCCUCACAUCCCACUCAUGUUCCCCAGCUAGAGUAACUCAAUUACCCAUGUGGUAGAUAGCAAGCUGGUGGGCUUUGUCCUCUUAUAUUGAGCUCUAACUCUGCCACUUUCUAGGUUUGUGAUCCAGAGAAAUCUCUUAAAUAGUAUGCUUAUUCCAAGGCUAAUAACAGGCUACCUAAGAUGAUAGUCAUAAAGAUUGAACAGUACACUUAAAUGCACUCUGGAAAUGAUCACAUCUAAAUAUGUAUCAUCAUCAUCAUCGUCAUCAUUAUAGAGGAGGGAUGCUUUGCCUCCCAUGUCUGCAUGCUUCUGCCUGGCCACCUGCCUUGCUCCUGCCUGGUGAGACAUCCUUCUCCUCUGCAGAAGAGCUGCUUACACAACUGUGAGACUCAGGCCACCGUCAUCCGAAGAAGUGUGCUCAGGCAAUCUCUCUUCUGAUUGACCUCAUCCAGGACACUGCUGGCUUCACCAGGGAGGUCAGGGUGUGCUCUACAGACACCCUUAAUUUGCUAGUUCUGUGAUUAAUCUUGUUUUGAUGGAGGAUGGGAAGGUUAAGAGGUCUGUUUGGCCUUAAGUCUAAACCAUGGAUCCAAUCCAGCUUAACCAGUGAGCUCUCUGUUGGGGGCAAUUGGGAGAUAACAAUAAAGUGGCAUUUUGAUUGCCAUUCUGCCAUUAUUUCUUGUGUGCUAUUGCACACAUGCUCCUUGUGUGUCAUUACACACCAACCUCGCGGGACGAGGAAAGACGAACAGAGACCAGGGGUGUUCCUGGCUUUCCAGCGACAAUACUAUCCUGGCCAUCAAAACGUCACCUCUCUGACCUCUAACCUCUGACAAUUACCAGUCCCUCAAAUGGGUCAAUUACUCCCCUGAGGAGGAUACUCCACACCAUAUACAUAGUAAGAGUUUAGUAACUAUUAGUUAUUAUUACUGCUGUAACAGUCAGCGGUGCCCCUAUGGCAGGCAGCUCUCCUGUGAAACAGAGAAAUGUCCUUCUCCGUGACCUUGGCCUUGUCACUGCCAGGAGUGUCACUCCUGUCACUGCAGGAUCCCUAUGCAGUAUCCAUCCAUUCAUUUAAUGAGUGUUUGUUCAAUGCCUGUGCCACACACUGGGAGUCAGGUGGGGAAGACAGACACAAUUCUUAGCCUCAAGGAACUUCCAGUCCAAUGAAGGGACAAACACCAUAAAACAGAUGACUGGAACCACUCAGUGUGGCACGAGCUAUGCAGACACAACAGGGCAGUGAGAUUAACACUGAGGAUUGGCCUGGAGGCCCCUCCAGACCUAAGGGAAGGCCUCUCUCAACGCCUCAAUUCAACUUUCAACGUGACUUUGUUUUCUCAUCCCAUAAGUAUUUGGAAAAGAUUUAUACCAGCUCUUCUGUUACUGAGUUUUCUAGUGACAAAACAAAUAAAAAAAAAAAAAAAA
rnacentral:lncRNA from 1 species